UACAGAGGUCUCAAGCGUUGUUCGGAUACAUUGGGCGUAAAGGGUGUGUAGGUGGCGCGCUAAGUCGGGUGUGAAAUUUCGGAGCUUAACUCCGAAACUGCAUUCGAUACUGGCGUGCUUGAGGACUGGAGAGGAGACUGGAAUUCAUGGUGUAGCAGUGAAAUGCGUAGAGAUCAUGAGGAAGACCAGUGGCGAAGGCGGGUCUCUGGACAGUUCCUGACACUGAGACACGAAGGCCAGGGGAGCAAACGGG
rnacentral:rRNA from 1 species